rnacentral:rRNA from 1 species
ACGAACGCUGGCGGCGUGCUUAACCCAUGCCAGUCGAACGGUGAACUCCGCUUGCGGGGGGAUCAGUGGCGAACGGGUGAGUAACACGUGGGCAACCUGCCCUCAGCUCUGGGAUAACUCCAAGAAAUUGGGGCUAAUACCGGAUAUGACCGCUGACCGCAUGGUCUGGUGGUGGAAAGAUUUAUCGGCUGGGGAUGGGCCCGCGGCCUAUCAGCUUGUUGGUGGGGUAGUGGCCUACCAAGGCGACGACGGGUAGCCGGCCUGAGAGGGUGACCGGCCACACUGGGACUGAGACACGGCCCAGACUCCUACGGGAGGCAGCAGUGGGGAAUAUUGCGCAAUGGGCGAAAGCCUGACGCAGCGACGCCGCGUGGGGGAUGACGGCCUUCGGGUUGUAAACCUCUUUCAGCAGGGACGAAGCGAAAGUGACGGUACCUGCAGAAGAAGCACCGGCCAACUACGUG